GACCGCGCAGCUCAGUUGGCAGAGCAUUGGGCUAGUAUUCCAAAGGUCGCGGGUUCGAUUCCCACCGUGGUCA